AAUUUAAUAAUAAAUUAAUUAGUAAUUAAUUAAAAUGAGUUGCUCAAAGAGGCAUUUGAAACGCCUUUUAAAGCUAAAAAAGAGUUUUAUACAGAGCAAUUAGCCGUUAAAAAUGAGGAAUCAGUACGAGUUUGGGGAAACGAUGCCGCUACCGAGAAUAUUGCGCAUUGUAAUUCUUUUCAUAGUACUGAUGCCACUAGGGAAAAGCUUCCAUUAAAGAAAUUUGCCACAUAACGACCAAUUACUUUUUAUACCAAUAUUACAUGGCUGCACUAAUUAACGUUUUUAAUUUUGUUUUCAUAUACAUACUUACAUACAUAUGUAAAUAUUUGGAGUUGCUACAUAAGGAAAAAAUAUGGAAACAGCUGGAAAGCUUCGCCGGAUGAACGCCGGAAUACCCCAAUCAUUUUUAGAUAGCUUCAAUGAUGGUUGCGAUAAGUGCAACAACCUUCAAAAAUUAUUUGUGGACAAAAUUACAAAAUUGGGAGAAUGAAUUGAAAAACAAAACAAAGUGAUCAUUAAUAUUUUGGCGGAACAUGCCGUUUUGUUACAAAAUCUAACUCAAAAGGAGAAGGAAACUGUUGGAGCUAUUUCCUAUCAAAACAGAUGAUGAUAUCGUGAAAUUAGAGGUGGAAAUAAAUGAUGAUAAUAGAGAUUUCUAUAUUUCAGCAGUGAAAUACUUGUUACAAGGAAAGGUUGUAAAAAAUUUCGAAAAGAUUUUGGCGCGUAAAUUUUGCCUUGAAUACAACAUUAAUGGAAUUGGCAACAAAAAGAGCUUUAAGGAUUAUUCUAUGGUGUAUACCAUACUUUAAAGUAUGGACAAUUGAAAAGCAAUUGGAAAAACAGCAGUAAAUGCGGAAGCGGAAAUGAGGAGGGCUUUUCAGAUCGUAAAAAAGAGGCAUUUCCGGCAGGUUUCUUCGAUCAAAAAUCAUACCUAAUAUAAAAACUGAUUUUUUUGCGUUACACAUACGUACCUCUCCUAAA